rnacentral:rRNA from 1 species
GCUCCAAUAGCGUAUAUUAAAGUUGCUGCAGUUAAAAAGCUCGUAGUUGGAUCUCGGUAUUAUUGUUGCCUGCUGGCUUUAGAGGCACUAGCUGGCCUAGCGGUGCAUGGGUGAGCCUGUGCAGCGUGGGGUCGGCGGCCUUGGGUCGGCGUGGCGGCGGUGAUACCUUUCAGCCAUGUCUGUGGUGCAAUAUCCACAGGUGUAGGCGAGUGCCAGGCGGUGCCCUGCAACUGUGGGGUUCGUCGGCUUGUCUGCAUGCCUACGGAUGCCCUUUAAAAGGUGUCUGUGGGCGGAUGGCACGUUUACUUUGAACAAAUUUGAGUGCUCAAACCAGGCCGAUGCUGCCUGAAAAGUUUUGCAUGGAAUAAUGGAAUAGGACUUCGGUUCUAUUUCGU